AACGUAGGAGGCGAGCGUUAUCCGGAUUUACUGGGCGUAAAGCGCGUGUAGGCGGUUCUGUAAGUCGUGCGUGAAAGCUCCCAGGCUUAACCGGGAGAGGUCGUGCGAUACUGUGGAACUGGAGUCAGACAGAGGCAAGUAGAAUUCCGGGUGUAGUGGUGAAAUGCGUAGAUAUCCGGAGGAAUACCAGUGGCGAAAGCGACUUGCUGGGUCUGAACUGACGCUCAGACGCGAAAGCAUGGGGAGCGAACGGGAUUAGAAACCCCCGUAGUCC
rnacentral:rRNA from 1 species